rnacentral:rRNA from 1 species
UACGUAGGGUGCGAGCGUUGUCCGGAAUUACUGGGCGUAAAGAGCUCGUAGGUGGUUUGUCGCGUUGUUCGUGAAAACCGGGGGCUUAACCCUCGGCGUGCGGGCGAUACGGGCAGACUUGAGUACUGCAGGGGAGACUGGAAUUCCUGGUGUAGCGGUGAAAUGCGCAGAUAUCAGGAGGAACACCGAUGGCGAAGGCAGGUCGCUGGAACGGUACUGACGCUGAGGCGCGAAAGCGUGGGGAGCAAACAGG